GACGUAGGGCGCGAGCGUUGUCCGGAUUUAUUGGGCGUAAAGAGCUCGUAGGCGGCUGUUCAAGUCGAACGUGAAAACUCGGAGCUCAACUCCGAGCCUGCGUUCGAUACUGGACGGCUAGAGUCUGGUAGGGGGAUCUGGAAUUCCUGGUGUAGCGGUGGAAUGCGCAGAUAUCAGGAGGAACACCGAUGGCGAAGGCAGGUCUCUGGGCCACUACUGACGCUGAGAAGCGAAAGCAUGGGGAGCGAACAGG
rnacentral:rRNA from 1 species